AUACGAACCGUACAAACGUUAUUCGGAAUUAUUGGGCUUAAAGGGUGCGUAGGCGGCGCAGUCAGUGAGGUGUGAAAUCCCUCGGCUCAACCGAGGAAUUGCGCUUCAUACUGCUGUGCUCGAGGGAGACAGGGGUAAGCGGAACUGAUGGUGGAGCGGUGAAAUGCGUUGAUAUUAUCAGGAACACCAGUGGCGAAAGCGGCUUACUGGGUCUCUUCUGACGCUGAGGCACGAAAGCUAGGGUAGCGAACGGGAUUAGAAACCCCAGUAGUCC
rnacentral:rRNA from 1 species